GGAGUGGAGCUUAAAUACUGGUGACUGCAGGUUCUGAGAGUUCUUCACCCCAACUGGACGAUUUUCCCUUCGACUUGAACUGUGGUGGAUGACUCCUCUGUCCUCGGCCAAGGUAAUGGCUGCCCGUUACUGAGUGUACCUGAUGUCUGGCUGGAUUCGUUGGGACACCUUUGCCCUCUCUGGACAAUGCCGUGCAGACCGGCAACUCCAUACAACUUCUCUGUCAACACCUGGGUCGCUUCGAUCUACUUUGUCGCACUGAUGAUUCUGGUCCAGAACUGCACCACCUGAUUGUGAUGGUCAUAAUGCAGGCUCUAGAGGAGAGCA